UUACAACGACUGGGGUAACAGAUUCGAAGCCGAGUUUAGUUUUCCUGUCCACCAGAGGAUAGAGGGGUGGGAAGUAGCCAUCAACUUUUCAGAGCCUGUGGACAAACUGGAUAUGUGGGUAGCCGAUGUAUACAAAAAGUCUGCCGAUGGUAAAACCUGGGUGGUCAUCAACAAGCAGGAUCAUGUCUUCUUUGACAAAGGGGACACCAUCAAACUCCGCUUCUUCGGCAACACACAGGCGUCGUCCGCCCCAUCUGCUGUUGCUACACUCACCAACCUCGGCCACGACGACAAUGGAUUCCC